CCUACGGUGCGCAGCAGUGAGGAAUAUUGCACAAUGGGGGAAACCCUGAUGCAGCGACGCCGCGUGAGUGAAGAAGUAUUUCUGUAUGUAAAGCUCUAUCAGCAGGGAAGAAAAUGACGGUACCUGAUUAAGAAGCCCCGGCUAACUACGUGCCAGCCGCCGCGGUAAUACGUAGGUGGCAAGCGUUAUCCGGAUUUACUGGGUGUAAAGUGGGCGUAGACGGCAGCACAAGUCUGGAGUGAAAUGCCGGGGAUUAACACCGGAACUGCUUUGGAAACUGUGCAGCUAGAGUGCAGGAGGGGGAAGUGGAAUUCCUAGUGUAGCGGUGAAAUGCGUAGAUAUUAGGCGGAACACCAGUGGCGAAGGCGGCUUACUGGACUGUAACUGACGUUGAGGCUCGAAAGCGUGGGGAGCAAACAGGAUUAGAUACCCCAGUAGUC
rnacentral:rRNA from 1 species